CAUUGCCUGAGUAAAAUUAGGUUUUUAGGUCUUUUUGGCAUUUACUUCUUUUACAGCUGAUGUGGAAUCAAUUAUUCCUUUAUAUGUUCAUAAGUACAAAAUUUCACUAUCUUAAUUACUUCCAAACAAACAAUUUCCAAGCAAGGGUAUGUGUGCCUGGUUUUUCUGCUCCUCCAAUUCUAAGAUCGUUAUUUGUUUGCCUUCUGUUUCUCACCCAAAAAUACAGAUGGUUGGGAAAGAUACAUCUUAUUGAGUUGUCCUAUGCAGUCUCUGUCUAUAUUUGCAUUUCUUUCUAUUCCUAUCUUGCCUUUUUUUUUUUUUUUUACACAGAUUUGGUUUUCCCUUCCCUUUGUGAAAACCAGAAUUGAGCAGCAUUGUACAUCAGAGAUGGUACCCAGGAAAUGUCUUUGUUCCUCAGUAUUUUUCGUCAAAACUUCCAUGCAAAGACAGUCCCAGCAAAGUUGACAUACAUCCCAACCUCUCUCAUUGGCUUUUCUAACUUUUUAUAGAGCUAUUCCCCUGAGAAAAGUGAAAUGCUGAGUAUGAUGGGUAUUGCCUGUUGAUAGGAUAGCUAAGGAAAUUUGCUUUUGGAGAAUGUAUCUUAAAUAAUUAUACAGGAAAGUAGUCACAGUAUAGUGUUCUGUUUAAGGUACAUCAUGGGUACAUAAAUGCCUAAAACCUUCAUCCUUUGGUCUAUUUCUCUGUAAGUGUAAAUUACAUAUAUAUUAGAAAGAGAGAUAGAAUCAAAGAAUUAGGGGUGUUACAGAGGCAGCUUUUUGCUGCCUUGGUUUUGACUGUAUCAGCAUUUCUAUUGCAGACCUCUAUUUUCAGGGGUUUUAGAGACUCGACCAUAAAAAUUUGUUUCAGGCUUAAAAGUUUUGAAAGAUUUUUUUAGGUAUCUGAUUUUAAACAAAUAGAUCUUGUUUUUAUAUUAUAGGAGGGAAAUAAAUGGAGUUUACUAGUUCAAUUUUGCGCUAAUAUAACUUUUAAUAAACUUAACUUUUUAAACAAAAACAUAAAAUCUAAUUAGUUCAUAGUUGGUUGAUGCUUUUUUAAAAGAAUCAAUUAUUGACCUUGAGAAACUUGCCUGCUUCAUCAGUAUAGUAACCUAUCUUUAAGAUAUUUUAAAACGUGUAUACCUUUAUUAACAUUAUCUUGAUUCCAGCGGUGGAUCAGUAUGAUAAUGCAGAUUUAUGACAUCCAUAUAAGCUAUCUGGUAAUAUAGAUUUAGGAAUAUAUAGUAUAUAUGAUACAUAUAUAUAUAUAUAUUUACUAGAUAGAUUAAGGAGAAAAAGCUCCCAUAAACUUAGUUUGUCAAAUAAAUACCAUAUAUUUAAAAAAUGCACAGACAUUUAUCAUUCAGAGUCAGAAUGAGAUUCAAGUAAUUGCAAAGGGAAGUUGUCUCUUGGGUAAACAAUACACAUUUUAUAGCUUCUUGUGAAACUAAUUUUUUCCUUUCUAUAUUGUGGUUAUGGGAAAGUAAAAGAAUUAAAAUUAAUACAGACUUUAUUUAAAUAACAUUAAACUGUGAAGCAGAGAGAAACGCCAGGAAAUUAAAUAUUUAGGCCAUUAUCUUGUGGUUGUCUGACAAUACUUCACCUUUCUUUUAAUUCCCCAUGAUGUUUUCAAUUAUGGAGAGAGUAUUAAAAUCUAGAUUUAAGUUUCUGCAUUGUUCUCAUUACACUCAACACUAUUUCAUUAAGUUCUUGAUAAUAUGUAGUCUUCUGUGUGCAAGGAAAGAAAUAAAUAACACAUUUAUUUGCUGAAUGAGUUUUAAGGUGUGCAAGUUGUAGUGAUGUUUUUCCCACACAGGAUUCUAUACACUUAUACCAUCUUAAAUCUGGCAUUUUUUUUUUCAGAUAGCUUCUACUGACAAACACAAAGCUUGUUUGUGUGCAAAUAUAAGGCUAAAUAAAUGGUGCUAAAGUGUAUUAUGACUGUCAGAUAAAAUCAGGCAAAAUUUUGUGGUGCUUAAAUUAAUUUUUUCAUUGAUUUUAUUGAUCAGUGCAUUGAACAGUGUUUAUUAUUCACAAGUUGUCUUUUAUUAGUAAAUCAAGGCCUCAUAGCACAUUGUUAAAUAAAGUGGUUGACUAGUCUAUGUAACAGCUCACCAAGCUACUAUCUCUUUUAACUCCUUAUAAUGUUGCGUCAUUAAAGGUCAAGGGGUCAUGCUAUUAAUCUCAUUGCUAUAGACCAUUAACAUGACUGAACUUUUCCACAAAGUACUUAUGUUUACAAUGCUAUAACCCUUUGACUGCUGCGGCAACCUUUAACCACACAAAUGUCACAAGCUAGAAUCAUCAGCAUGGUUCUUGCCAUGGCAAUCAAAGAGUUAAGGGCUGUGCAGUGAUUUGUUUUGUAUUUAUUAAUUUAUAUUUAUUUUGUUUCCAUUCAAGGAGGGGAUUAGGGGUGGGGCAGUUUUUGUCUGCUGUAAGUGUCUUAACCUAGGGAAGGGUUAAAUGGCUUUUUAUACUAUUGCAUCUUCUGUAUUUACCAUCAAUUCAUUGUGUUGUAAUUAAAAGAAACUGUCAAUAAAUAAGAGAACAG
rnacentral:lncRNA from 1 species